rnacentral:rRNA from 1 species
ACUCAAAUGAAUUGACGGGGACCCGCACAAGCAGCGGAGCAUGUGGUUUAAUUCGAAGCAACGCGAAGAACCUUACCAGAUCUUGACAUCCCUAUGAAAAACAUUUAACCAUGUUCCUUUCUUCGGAAACAUAGGAGACAGGUGGUGCAUGGUUGUCGUCAGCUCGUGUCGUGAGAUGUUGGGUUAAGUCCCGCAACGAGCGCAACCCUUGCAUUUAGUUGCCAUCAGGUUAAGCUGGGCACUCUAGAUGGACUGCCGAGGACAACUCGGAGGAAGGUGGGGAUGACGUCAAAUCAUCAUGCCCCUUAUGAUCUGGGCUACACACGUGCUACAAUGGCCGGUACAACGGGAAGCGAAGGAGCGAUCUGGAGCAAAUCCUAUAAAAGCCGGUCCCAGUUCGGAUUGUAGGCUGCAACUCGCCUACAUGAAGUUGGAGUUGCUAGUAAUCGCGGAUCAGAAUGCCGCGGUGAAUGCGUUCCCGGGUCUUGUACACACCGCCCGU